GACACAGGAAUUUCAAACUCUACUGGACAAAGGGACCAUAGAACAUGUUCCCCUGCCAGACAGACAGUCAGGCUAUUACAGCCGGUAUUUUCUUGUUUCCAGCAGGACAAUGAUCCCAAAUAUACUUCAAAAAGCACCCAGAAAUUAAUGGCAACAAAGCGCUGGAGAGUUCCGAAGUGGCCAGCAAUGAGUCCAGAUCUAAAUCCCAUUGAACACAUGUGGAGAAAUCUUAAUUGCUGUUGGGAAAAGGUGCCCUUCCAAUAUGAUAGACCUGGAGCAGUUUGCAAAGGAAGAGUGGUCCAAAAUUCCAGAAUUGCACAGGGUUUACAUCUACGUCAAGUAGAUAUGCUUCAAGAUGGCACUGCGAAGAGAACAGCAAUGCUUUUCAUGAUGUCAAAGAAACUCAGAAGUGUUAGUGUAAAAAGCCUGAAGACGCACCGAAAGAAAAAGAGGCAGAGAGUUGGCGGUCUUAAGCAUGCAGAACAAUGUGACGACACGUUUGAGCUGCAUUCGGUCUAAAUGAGGCUGACGGAGACACUGAAGAGGGACUUCAGGAGCCUGAUCAAGACGGUUUGCAGCAUGACGCCCGAGGCGACGAUCAUCGUGUCAGGACCACUGCCCACGUAUCGACAAGGACACGAAAGGUUCAGUAGACUUUUUGCUCUAAAUGAAUGGUUACUGUCAUGAUGUAAAGAACAGAAACUGCUCUU